rnacentral:rRNA from 1 species
GACGAACGCUGGCGGCGUGCUUAACACAUGCAAGUCGAACGGCAAGGCCCUGCUUUUGUGGGGUGCUCGAGUGGCGAACGGGUGAGUAACACGUGAGUAACCUGCCCUUGACUUUGGGAUAACUUCAGGAAACUGGGGCUAAUACCGGAUCGGAGCUCCUGCUGCAUGGUGGGGGUUGGAACGUUUCGGCGGUUGGGGAUGGACUCGCGGCUUAUCAGCUUGUUGGUGGGGUAGUGGCUUACCAAGGCUUUGACGGGUAGCCGGCCUGAGAGGGUGACCGGCCACAUUGGGACUGAGAUACGGCCCAGACUCCUACGGGAGGCAGCAGUGGGGAAUAUUGCACAAUGGGCGGAAGCCGGAUGCAGCAACGCCGCGUGCGGGAUGACGGCCUUCGGGUUGUAAACCGCUUUCGCCUGUGACGAAGCGUGAGUGACGGUAAUGGGUAAAGAAGCACCGGCUAACUACGUG